rnacentral:pre_miRNA from 1 species
AUAACAUUUGGACCGUCGGUCUACUGAGCAAUGUCGCAGCUCGGUGGAAGAUCUUCCCUUUGUCGU